rfam:Clostridium sp. CAG:269 genomic scaffold, scf4
AAAAUAAUAUAUAUAAUGCCAUAGACAGUAGGCAAUAAAAUAAGUCCUACCGAGGUAUAAGAUUCGUGAAACGCAAUCUCUAUGCCUUGUGGUAUAGAGAUUGUUUUAUAAUUUA